rnacentral:rRNA from 1 species
UACGAAGGGGCUAGCGUUGCUCGGAAUUACUGGGCGUAAAGCGCACGUAGGCGGAUUGUUAAGUCGGGGGUGAAAUCCUGGAGCUCAACUCCAGAACUGCCUUCGAUACUGGCGAUCUCGAGUUCGGGAGAGGUGAGUGGAACUGCGAGUGUAGAGGUGAAAUUCGUAGAUAUUCGCAAGAACACCAGUGGCGAAGGCGGCUCACUGGCCCGAUACUGACGCUGAGGUGCGAAAGCGUGGGAGCAAACAGGG